rnacentral:tRNA from 1 species
UGGUGGUUAGCUCAGCUGGUUAGAGUGUGGUGCGAAUAACGGCAAGGUCGCGGGUUCGACCCCUGACUGGCCAA